AGCGAACGCUGGCGGCAGGCUUAACACAUGCAAGUCGAACGGGCAUCUUCGGAUGUCAGUGGCAGACGGGUGAGUAACACGUGGGAACAUGCCCUUCGGUUCGGAAUAACUCAGGGAAACUUGAGCUAAUACCGGAUACGCCCUUACGGGGAAAGAUUUAUUGCCGAAGGAUUGGCCCGCGUCUGAUUAGCUAGUUGGUGAGGUAAUGGCUCACCAAGGCGACGAUCAGUAGCUGGUCUGAGAGGAUGAUCAGCCACACUGGGACUGAGACACGGCCCAGACUCCUACGGGAGGCAGCAGUGGGGAAUAUUGGACAAUGGGCGAAAGCCUGAUCCAGCCAUGCCGCGUGAGUGAUGAAGGCCUUAGGGUUGUAAAGCUCUUUUAUCCGGGAAGAUAAUGACUGUACCGGAAGAAUAAGCCCCGGCUAACUUCGUGCCAGCCGCCGCGGUAAC
rnacentral:rRNA from 1 species